rnacentral:rRNA from 1 species
UACGUAGGGUGCGAGCGUUGUCCGGAAUUAUUGGGCGUAAAGAGCUUGUAGGCGGUUUGUCGCGUCUGCUGUGAAAAUCCGGGGCUCAACCCCGGACUUGCAGUGGGUACGGGCAGACUGGAGUGUGGUAGGGGAGACUGGAAUUCCUGGUGUAGCGGUGGAAUGCGCAGAUAUCAGGAGGAACACCGGUGGCGAAGGCGGGUCUCUGGGUAUUAACUGACGCUGAGGAGCGAAAGCAUGGGGAGCGAACAGG